AUUGAACGCUGGCGGCAGGCCUAACACAUGCAAGUCGAGCGGAUGAAGGGAGCUUGCUCCUGGAUUCAGCGGCGGACGGGUGAGUAAUGCCUAGGAAUCUGCCUGGUAGUGGGGGAUAACGUCCGGAAACGGGCGCUAAUACCGCAUACGUCCUGAGGGAGAAAGUGGGGGAUCUUCGGACCUCACGCUAUCAGAUGAGCCUAGGUCGGAUUAGCUAGUUUGUGGGGUAAAGGCCUACCAAGGCGACGAUCCGUAACUGGUCUGAGAGGAUGAUCAGUCACACUGGAACUGAGACACGGUCCAGACUCCUACGGGAGGCAGCAGUGGGGAAUAUUGGACAAUGGGCGAAAGCCUGAUCCAGCCAUGCCGCGUGUGUGAAGAAGGUCUUCGGAUUGUAAAGCACUUUAAGUUGGGAGGAAGGGCAGUAAGUUAAUACCUUGCUGCUUUGACGUUACCAACAGAAUAAGCACCGGCUAACUUCGUG
rnacentral:rRNA from 1 species